rnacentral:lncRNA from 1 species
GUGUGCAGUUCAGCCUCUGAGGAGACUACGAGACCACGGUUAGAGAUCUUAACAGAACGGAGACAUUUUCAGGGAUUACAAAGACAAGGCCAAGGGUACCACAAACAUGAAUUUCUUCCCCAGUCCAUUGGCACUAGACAGCAGCAAACAGCUUCAGAAGUUAAGUCUUGUUUCCAUCCUUUGGGUAUGUAGUUUCCACA